AGGUCAUUCUAGGGACAAUUUCUCAACAAACAUUUAUAUCUCUUCCAUGCCUCAUAAAGUCAUUCACCUCCUUUCUGUUCAAAAUUGGCAAUUGCUUUCUUUAACUU